CAGAAAAUGGUGACAUUCACAAUGUACACAAAAUAUAAGGGAAUCCCAGACUCCGUUGGAUUGUUUUUUUGGCAGCAAAAUACAUUUGUGGCGGAUACAAACAGCAUUUAUCAAGUGCAUUGCAAUGUGGCUGGAUAUUGUAAUGUGAGGACUGAGUGCAAAGUUCCCAUUCUGGGGUCAAGACCAACUGCAACUAUGUAUUUGCGCCUACAGCCUGGACCAACGGGUAAAAUAAUGGAAUUUGCUGGAUGAAAUGAUCUAUUUCUCUUCCUGUUCUUGCCAUACUCUCUGCAGUACCUGCUACAUUAAUAUUUGCCACAAGAUAAAAGCAAAUACAAAGCAGCAAAGGAACCAAAUCACACUGAACCAAACUCCAUACAAGCACUUUAUGGUUAUGAGGCAACUUUGAAGGACUUUUACUGUUGUACCUAAAUAAGGACAACUGGGUGCUAAACAAUAAACGUGAUGAUUUUCCAA